AGGAAAGAGUAAAUUUUGGUUGCUACUCUCACAGCUAAAUAGAUGAAGUUUGAAACGUCCUUGUCCCUUUUUCAUUUCUUCAUUUUGCCUUUUGGGUGAUUCCGAUGCUGCCUACUGCCUCUUUAGUGUUCAUAUGAACGAAGUUUUAGUGUUGAAAAUUACAAUGAGUUUGUUACAUUCAAUAUGAUUCCAAGUUUUUUGGGUACGUGAUAUACAUUUUUGUUUCCUGAAAAUAAAAACCAAAAGGUGAAAAAAAAAAAAAGAGAAUAAAGAAAUUAUUACGGUGGAAUGUGGAUCCGUCGAUCUUUUAUUAGAAAGUGUCAUUUAUACGGUUUUCUCAUUAUGAAAAAUAUGGUAGAUCUUUGUUUGGAGUUUAUAUAAAGGAGAGGAAGGCUCUAUCGGUCUGAGGGGGAGGGGGAAGUCUUAAUCCAUUUUUUCAUGGCAUUGAUGCUAUUAAAAAAAUUGUCAAUUGUUUAAUUAUUCUUAAUUACAUUUGAAAAUUCAACCAUAUAUGAGGGAUGAUAUGCUACAAAAGCCCAAAUUUAUUCUU
rnacentral:misc_RNA from 1 species